UGAGGAACAUGACCUUCGGCGGGGGAUAGCCGGCCCAACGGCCGGGUAAUACCGCGUACGACCACAUGGGGACAUCCCUGAGUGGUGAAAGCAGCAAUGCGCCGAUGGAGUGCCUCGCGGCCUAUCAGCUAGUUGGUGAGGUAACGGCUCACCAAGGCGACGACGGGUAGCUGGUCUGAGAGGAUGGCCAGCCANAUUGGGACUGAGACACGGCCCAGACCUCGUACCGGGGAGG
rnacentral:rRNA from 1 species